GACCACUUCCGAUAUCUUCC
rnacentral:misc_RNA from 1 species